rnacentral:rRNA from 1 species
GGUGAACCUGCGGAAGGAUCAUUAUGAAUUGCAGGACGUUCUCUUUAGAAGUCCGACCUCUUCAUUUCCUUACACCGUGCAAAAACUUCUUUUUACACCACUUUUUACUCUUGAAGUAUUAGAAUGUAAUCAGUCUCUUAAAUGAGCAUAAAAUAAAUAAAACUUUCAGCAACGGAUCUCUUGGCUCUCGCAUCGAUGAAGAACGCAGCGAAAUGCGAUACGUAAUGUGAAUUGCAGAAUUCAGUGAAUCAUCGAAUCUUUGAACGCACCUUGCACUCUUUGGUAUUCCGAAGAGUAUGCCUGUUUGAGUGUCAUGAAAUUCUCAACCCCUCUAUUUUGUAAUGAAAUAGACGUGGGCUUGGUUUAUGGUUGUUGUCGGCUUAAGUCGGCUCGACUGAAAUAAACGAGUAACCCAUUUGAAAUAGACGGCUUGACUCGGCGUAAUAGUUAUUUCGCUGAGGACGUCUUCUUCAAAAGUCAGAGGUGCUUCUAAUGCAUUGAAUUAUACUUUAGAGCUCAAAUCAGGCAGGACUACCCGCUGAACU